GAUGAAGAACGCAGCGAAAUGCGAUAAGUAAUGUGAAUUGCAGAAUUCAGUGAAUCAUCGAAUCUUUGAACGCACAUUGCGCCCAUUAGUAUUCUAGUGGGCAUGCCUGUUCGAGCGUCAUUAAGUCCACUUAAGCCCUGCUUAGUGUUGGGAGACUGCUCCAGCGGUGCUACCCUGUAGCUACCCUGCAGCUCCUCAAAGACAGCGGCGGAGUUGUGGUAUCCUCUGAGCUUAGUAACUUGUUCUAGCUUUCGAGUACACUACUUCCCCUGCCGUAAAACCCUUAAUUUUUAAUGGUUGACCUCGGAUCAGGUAGGAAUACCCGCUGAACUUAAGCAUAUCAAUAAGCGGAGGA
rnacentral:misc_RNA from 1 species